GCGGCGUGCUUAACACAUGCAAGUCGAACGGAAAGGCCCUGCUUUUGUGGGGUGCUCGAGUGGCGAACGGGUGAGUAACACGUGAGUAACCUGCCCUUGACUUUGGGAUAACUUCAGGAAACUGGGGCUAAUACCGGAUAGGAGCUCCUGCUGCAUGGUGGGGGUUGGAAAGUUUCGGCGGUUGGGGAUGGACUCGCGGCUUAUCAGCUUGUUGGUGGGGUAGUGGCUUACCAAGGCUUUGACGGGUAGCCGGCCUGAGAGGGUGACCGGCCACAUUGGGACUGAGAUACGGCCCAGACUCCUACGGGAGGCAGCAGUGGGGAAUAUUGCACAAUGGGCGGAAGCCUGAUGCAGCAACGCCGCGUGCGGGAUGACGGCCUUCGGGUUGUAAACCGCUUUCGCCUGUGACGAAGCGUGAGUGACGGUAAUGGGUAAAGAAGCACCGGCUAACUACGUGCCAGCAGCCGCGGUGAUACGUAGGGUGCGAGCGUUGUCCGGAUUUAUUGGGCGUAAAGGGCUCGUAGGUGGUUGAUCGCGUCGGAAGUGUAAUCUUGGGGCUUAACCCUGAGCGUGCUUUCGAUACGGGUUGACUUGAGGAAGGUAGGGGAGAAUGGAAUUCCUGGUGGAGCGGUGGAAUGCGCAGAUAUCAGGAGGAACACCAGUGGCGAAGGCGGUUCUCUGGGCCUUUCCUGACGCUGAGGAACGAAAGCGUGGGGAGCGAACAGGCUUAGAUACCCUGGUAGUCCACGCUGUAAACGGUGGGUACUAGGUGUGGGGUCCAUUCCACGGGUUCCGUGCCGUAGCUAACGCUUUAAGUACCCCGCCUGGGGAGUGCGGCCGCAAGGCUAAAACUCAAAGGAAUUGACGGGGCCCCGCACAAGCGGCGGAGCAUGCGGAUUAAUUCGAUGCAACGCGUAGAACCUUACCUGGGUUUGACAUGGAUCGGGAGUGCUCAGAGAUGGGUGUGCCUCUUUUGGGGUCGGUUCACAGGUGGUGCAUGCCUGUCGUCAGCUCGUGUCGUGAGAUGUUGGGUUAAGUCCCGCAACGAGCGCAACCCUUGUUCACUGUUGCCAGCACGUUAUGGUGGGGACUCAGUGGAGACCGCCGGGGUCAACUCGGAGGAAGGUGGGGAUGACGUCAAGUCCUCAUGCCCCUUAUGUCCAGGGCUUCACGCAUGCUACAAUGGCUGGUACAGAGAGUGGCGAGCCUGUGAGGGUGAGCGAAUCUCGGAAAGCCGGUCUCAGUUCGGAUUGGGGUCUGCAACUCGACCUCAUGAAGUCGGAGUCGCUAGUAAUCGCAGAUCAGCAACGCUGCGGUGAAUACGUUCCCGGGGCUUGUACACACCGCCCGUCAAGUCAUGAAAGUUGGUAACACCCGAAGCCGGUGGCCUAACCGUUGUGGGGGAGCCGUCGAAGGUGGGACUGGUGAUUAGGACUA
rnacentral:rRNA from 1 species